GCACCGGUGGUCUAGUGGUAUGACCUCAGCCUUCCAAGCUGAUGGUGAGGGUUCGAUUCCCUCCCGGUGCA
rnacentral:tRNA from 1 species